GAUGAACGCUGGCGGCGUGCCUUAACAGGCAAGUCGAACGAUGAAGCCCAGCUUGCUGGGUGGAUUAGUGGCGAACGGGUGAGUAACACGUGAGCAACCUGCCCUUAACUCUGGGAUAAGCCUGGGAAACUGGGUCUAAUACCGGAUAGGAGCGCCUACCGCAUGGUGGGUGUUGGAAAGAUUUAUCGGUUUUGGAUGGACUCGCGGCCUAUCAGCUUGUUGGUGAGGUAAUGGCUCACCAAGGCGACAACGGGUAGCCGGCCUGAAAGGGUGACCGGCCACACUGGGACUGAGACACGGCCCAGACUCCUACGGGAAGGAGCAGUGGGGAAUAUUGGACAAUGGGGGCCAGCCUGAUAGAGCGACGCCUCGUGAGGGAUGACGGCCUUCAGGUUGUAAACCUCUUUCUGUAGGGAAGAAGCGAAAGUGACAGGACCUGCCGAAUAAGCACCGGCUAACUACGUGCCAUCAGUUUCGGUAAUACGUAGGGUGCGCAGCGGUAGCCGGAAUUAUUGGGCGUAAAGAGCUCGUAGGCGGUUUGUCGCGUCUGUCGUGAAAGUCCGGGGCUUAACCCCGGAUCUGCGGUGGGUACGGGCAGACUAGAGUGCAGUAGGGGAGACUGGAAUUCCUGGUGUAGCGGUGGAAUGCGCAGAUAUCAGGAGGAACACCGAUGGCGAAGGCAGGUCUCUGGGCUGUAACUGACGCUGAGGAGCGAAAGCAUGGGGAGCGAACAGGAUUAGAUACCCUGGUAGUCCAUGCCGUAAACGUUGGGCACUAGGUGUGGGGACCAUUCCACGGUUUCCGCGCCGCAGCUAACGCAUUAAGUGCCCCGCCUGGGGAGUACGGCCGCAAGGCUAAAACUCAAAGGAAUUGACGGGGGCCCGCACAAGCGGCGGAGCAUGCGGAUUAAUUCGAUGCAACGCGAAGAACCUUACCAAGGCUUGACAUGUUCUCGAUCGCCGUAGAGAUACGGUUUCCCCUUUGGGGCGGGUUCACAGGUGGUGCAUGGUUGUCGUCAGCUCGUGUCGUGAGAUGUUGGGUUAAGUCCCGCAACGAGCGCAACCCUCGUUCCAUGUUGCCAGCACGUCGUGGUGGGGACUCAUGGGAGACUGCCGGGGUCAACUCGGAGGAAGGUGAGGACGACGUCAAAUCAUCAUGCCCCUUAUGUCUUGGGCUUCACGCAUGCUACAAUGGCCGGUACAAUGGGUUGCGAUACUGUGAGGUGGAGCUAAUCCCAAAAAGCCGGUCUCAGUUCGGAUUGGGGUCUGCAACUCGACCCCAUGAAGUCGGGGUCGCUAGUAAUCGCAGAUCAGCAACGCUGCGGUGAAUACGUUCCCGGGCCU
rnacentral:rRNA from 1 species